GCGUUGUUUCAAUCCACUUACAAUCCCAUCACUCUUCUGUGCAGUUUUCUUGCUUGGCCUUUGAGGAAUUGGAGUUUUUGGGUCCUAUUGAAAUCCAUGCACUGGAGACUUGCACAACAUGGUAUUAUUCUGUAUGGCUCAGGGUUCAUUGGCUCGGGUACGAGUGGGAACCAGACCUUAACUUGGUUGUGAUCAAAGUCUUACUUGCUUCAACAGUUGACUAGCUUUGGUCGUGGGCUGGCUUUUCUACAGGAUUUACACAAGUUGGACUCAGUUGUGCAUGCUAAUUCAGUUGAUGGACUGCUGCAAGCAAGUUUCCUCCUGGCUUGGAUAAGUACCAACUAUGCUGCCAACUGGUUUUGCAGGCUUGGUUGUAGUUGUUGCAGAUGGUAUGCUCGAUUUUGCAUAGUUGGAUCAUGGUUCUGAUGAAGUAGGGCCAUCUGCAAGUUCAUCCUGGCCCUAGGUCACAAAGAGGUGGUUAUGCCAAAUGAUUGAUUGGACCAUAAAUGUUAGGGACCUGAUGCUGUUAUUUGGAUGUGAUGCCAAUACCCCUGCACCCUUGCCGCUACUGACUGGUGUGUGGAUGAAUGGAAGUGCAGGAUAGUUUGCUGCAGAAUGGGUACUGUUAACAGCAGGAUCCAACUUCUGGCAGGGUGACAAUGCAGGUCCGAGAUUUUGGAAAUUCCCUGGUUUGUGGCAAGCUAACUUGGUGAAUGUUUAGCUGCAGUUGCAUUAAAAAUCAUGUACAGUCUUGAUGAUGCCAGAUGUCAGGCUUAUUCUCCAAGUGAACCACCAAAACCUGGCUGUUGCUGCUGCUUUUUUCACAAAGACUUUUUAAGCUGGAUGUAGAUCUCUGUCUAAGAUUAUCAUUUUGAACUGUAUAUAUUGUAUUAUAGGAAUUGGUAUCCUCAAAUAAAAUGUCUUCGUUGAACUCCUCCAUGUUAUUUAUGUCACUCGACUUGAGCUUCUGAGAAUUAUCAAUCAUGUUGAUAGGGUAGAUAGGAUGA